GCCGGGUUAGCUCAGUUGAUUAGAGCAUGGCGCUAAUAACACCAAGUUCACAGGUUCAAUCCCUGCUCACUGCA
rfam:Pelecanus crispus contig68795, whole genome shotgun sequence.